rnacentral:rRNA from 1 species
AUACGGAGGGUGCGAGCGUUAAUCGGAAUUACUGGGCGUAAAGCGUACGUAGGCGGUUGGUUAAGUUAGAUGUGAAAGCCCCGGGCUUAACCUGGGAACUGCAUUUAAAACUGGCGAACUAGAGUUGAGUAGAGGGGAGUGGAAUUUCAGGUGUAGCGGUGAAAUGCGUAGAGAUCUGAAGGAACACCAGUGGCGAAGGCGACUCCCUGGACUCGAACUGCCGCUGAGGUACGAAAGCGUGGGUAGCAAACGGGAUUAGAAACCCCAGUAGUCC